rnacentral:rRNA from 1 species
UACGAAGGGGGCUAGCGUUGCUCGGAAUCACUGGGCGUAAAGGGCGCGUAGGCGGCCAAGUAAGUUGGGGGUGAAAGCCCGUGGCUCAACCACGGAAUUGCCUUCGAUACUGCUUGGCUUGAGACCGGAAGAGGUGAGUGGAACUGCGAGUGUAGAGGUGAAAUUCGUAGAUAUUCGCAAGAACACCAGUGGCGAAGGCGGCUCACUGGGCCGUUCCUGACGCUGAGACGCGAAAGCUAGGGGAGCGAACAGG